ACCAAUUUAGGAGAUUCUGUACUAUGGACUCAUCAAGUUGGAAGACGACAUCAGUCAGGACCUAUAGAAAUGUGUGUUUUCUUCACAAGAGGAAGGGACUACAAAGAUUUCCUGGAUAAGAUAAUAAACUUCUUCCCAAAAGAAGAAUGACAACAUGUUAAGUCAUCACCAGAGGGCCUGCAUUUACUUCUGCAGUGUGUUGGAAUACAAGACUCAUGAAGAAGGAUCAAACUGAGUAAAUGGAGAGAAAGCUACUAACUUCGGAGAUCAUGCAGAGCUGGCUUUAGGCUACAUUUAAGAUAUACAGUUGUCUACGGCUGUAGAUUGCCUGGACCAGCCAUGGUGCUGGUGCCUGCUUGGAGGCAGGAGGAGAUGGGGAAGAGUACUCUGCACUGCCUCUAUAGAUGAAGUUUACUGUUGCUCCUAAUGUCAAGGCAUGUGUUGGUGAGUAUGUGUGAACCAAGACAUGAUCGUUCCCCUUCUGUCCCACUGUGGGCAGCAGAAGUUGCUAAUGUUUAAUUCAAGACCUGUUCCCAGGCUUCCUGACCUAGUCUCCUCUUUCCCAUUCUUGGCAGGAGGAGCCCAACUCUGGCCCCGGCUCUCUGCAUCUUCAGUGACAUGCCAUCAUGCUGUGUAUAGAGAGAAUAAGUUGUGUUCGUCCAGGAGAUGGGAAGGGGAGGAGAUCACACAGGCAGCAUGGAUACCUGUCCUACCCAAGCUCCUGCUCAUUUUCUUCUGA
rnacentral:lncRNA from 1 species